GGGGAUGACGGUCAAAUCAUCAUGCCCCUUAUGACCUGGGCUACACACGUGCUACAAUGGUUGGUACAACGAGUUGCGAGUCCGGUGACGGGCGAGCUAACUCUACUUAAAGCCAAUCUCAGUUCGGAUUGUAGGCUGCAACUCGCCUACAUGAAGUCGGAAUCGCUAGUAAUCGCGGAUCAGCACGCCGCGGUGAAUACGUUCCCGGGCCUU
rnacentral:rRNA from 1 species